UCAUAACCCUAUAUCUAUCCACACUAGAUCUAAAUUCCGCCGUCAUCAACUAAUUGGUAUUACUAUGUUUUUACUUUGAUUUUGCAAUUAAUAUUAUUAGUAGCGUUUAAGGUUUAUGAAUCAGAUUUUGUUAUUAAUUGUGUUACAUAGGAACAAAGAUGAGGUUUACUAGGAUCUCUCGAGCAAACCUUGAAUGGCGUCUAAUCCAACGUCAUAUGUUUCAAGGGAAGUUGUUACUAUGACGUGUUCUUGAGCUUUAAACGGGAAGAUACCCGUAUCAUAUAUAUUCUGUCUUUCACCCCAAAAGUUUUCACACUUACAAGGAUGAUGAAAGGCCAAUUCGUUGGUUUUUCCAAAUCCAUUGAAGACUCAAAUUUGUCAACGUUUGAGUUUUUCGAGCUUGUGAAGAUUAUGGAGUGUCCAAGACAGGAUGAUAGAAAAAAAGUUGUCAAAAAUGGGCAUGAAGCUAAAUUCAUCCAAAAAUUUUGUUGAACGGAAUUUACUCAAGUUUCGUUGCAUUCUUUUGAAUGAUAUUCGCAUGAUAGGGAAGACAACUUUGGCCAAAUGAAAACGUAUUCGAGUUAUUGAGAAGACAACUUUGGCCAGUUAUACAAAAUAUAUAUGUUGAAAAAUAUACCGUACAAACGUUGCAAUGAUAAUUUUACUACAAGAAAACAAGAGAGAAACUCAACCAGUUAAAAGAGAGUUGAAGGAUCUGGGUAGACGUAAGUCAUCCAUGAGGUCAAACUCCUACUAGCUCUAUUGAUUUAACUCUGAAACAAUGUUUUUCUAAGUUUUUUUUAUCUAAAACGAAUAUUAGUGAUGUUUCAUGUAUAGUAGUGUUAUGACCCCAAAUCUUAUUGAAUGUAUGUUUCAAUGUAUUUUCCCCUUUUGAAAUGAGGCCAGUUUAUGUAAA